rnacentral:rRNA from 1 species
UACGUAGGGUCCGAGCGUUGUCCGGAAUUACUGGGCGUAAAGAGCUCGUAGGUGGUUUGUCGCGUUGUCCGUGAAAACUCACAGCUCAACUGUGGGCGUGCGGGCGAUACGGGCAGACUGGAGUACUGCAGGGGAGACUGGAAUUCCUGGUGUAGCGGUGGAAUGCGCAGAUAUCAGGAGGAACACCGGUGGCGAAGGCGGGUCUCUGGGCAGUAACUGACGCUGGAGG